AACAGGAUUAGAUACCCUGGUAGUCCACGCCGUAAACGAUGUCGACUUGGAGGUUGUGCCCUUGAGGCGUGGCUUCCGGAGCUAACGCGUUAAGUCGACCGCCUGGGGAGUACGGCCGCAAGGUUAAAACUCAAAUGAAUUGACGGGGGCCCGCACAAGCGGUGGAGCAUGUGGUUUAAUUCGAUGCAACGCGAAGAACCUUACCUACUCUUGACAUCCAGAGAACUUAGCAGAGAUGCUUUGGUGCCUUCGGGAACUCUGCGACAGGUGCUGCAUGGCUGUCGUCAGCUCGUGUUGUGAAAUGUUGGGUUAAGUCCCGCAACGAGCGCAACCCUUAUCCUUUGUUGCCAGCGGUUAGGCCGGGAACUCAAAGGAGACUGCCAGUGAUAAACUGGAGGAAGGUGGGGAUGACGUCAAGUCAUCAUGGCCCUUACGAGUAGGGCUACACACGUGCUACAAUGGCGCAUACAAAGAGAAGCGACCUCGCGAGAGCAAGCGGACCUCAUAAAGUGCGUCGUAGUCCGGAUUGGAGUCUGCAACUCGACUCCAUGAAGUCGGAAUCGCUAGUAAUCGUAGAUCAGAAUGCUACGGUGAAUACGUUCCCGGGCCUUGUACACACCGCCCGUCACACCAUGGGAGUGGGUUGCAAAAGAAGUAGGUAGCUUAACCUUCGGGAGGGCGCUUACCACUUUGUGAUUCAUGACUGGGGUGAAGUCGUAACAAGGUAGCCGUA
rnacentral:rRNA from 1 species